rnacentral:lncRNA from 1 species
CCAAAUUGUAAAAAACCGCUCUCCUGGUUUUUAUGCGUUGGCAGCUGUUCCACAUAGCAUCAAAGCUCAAAACAGGUCUUUGGACUGCCAGUUUCGUGUUGAUGUCGAUGAUAUGGCUUCCUUUAUGGACCUUAAUAAAGAGCUGAACAAACACAGGCGAUGUUUGUUCUCAGUGGUUGGGGCAAGAGGGAGAGGAGAGCGGUGGGUAGUUAAGACAACGAAUGUUUGGGAAGGAAGAGGAGCCCGUGGCGGGAACAGCUGUGAUGCUGUGAUUUAUAAUAAAUAUAUAUUUGGUCUUUGUACCCCAUUUCUGGCACAGAACUCCUAAAACGCUUGGAAUUUCCUGUGAUGAGAGCAAUCAAGGCGUCUUUUGUUAUGUUAAUGAGGCGACUUGGAAAGCACCUCGGUCACCUAAGGUUGGGGGCUGGUUGCCAGGGGUCCCAACCAGGUACCUCAAGGGUUGGAAUUUUCAGUCCCACCUGCCCCUGCACCUCUGGGGAGGGGAGAGGGUCUGGAGGUUGAAUCGAUCGCCUAUAAUAGCCACUGGUUUAAUCAAUCGUGACCAUGUAAUGACGCCUCCGUAAAAAGCCCAAAGGGAUGGAGGGCGUCCAGGUUGGUGAACUUGUGGAGAUGCAAGGAGAGUGGCGGCUCAGAGAGCAGGGAAGCUCCGCGCCCUUUCCAUACCUUGCCCGAUGCAUCUCUUCCAUCUGGCUGUUCUGAGGUACAUCCUUUUAUAAUAAACUGGUAGACGGUGACAGAAUCGAUGGAACUGUAGGACAUCCUGCUGGUGUCGGAGAAUUGCUUGGUGUCGGGGAAGGCGUCACAAGUCAGACUGGGUGCAGAACAGUCAGCAACCAGGGUUUCUUGGUACUUUGCUGCAAGCCUGUUUGCUGUAGACAUCUUUGCCACGAGUAUUUUCGCUGCAUAACCACUUGGCCUUAUGGCAAUUUUGCUGUAAAAGAUAAAAAUCACGAAAAAUAAAAGAGGGCCAUUCAUUCCAAAGGACACAACAAAACGUGAAAAAGAUGAAUAACAAAAUUAAAAGGACUUUAUUGUGAAAUACAAAAGAUUUGAAUAGGUUUAAAAUAUGUGUCUGGAGAUUCACGGCAGUCCUGCCCAAAGAACCAGUUUUAUUUUGUGUGUGUGGAUUGCACCUCACUAAGCACCUUCCUUUGUUCCGUGGGACAUGUGGGUUCAACUCUGCCCCCUUGAAGAAGAGGCCCUCGGCCCUCUUCUCCUCCUCCAAUAUAGUGUGAUUCAAAAUAAGAAACAACUCUUGGGGCAAAUCAUCGACACGGUCAGCUCGAUGAAGCCAUCAGUAAGACACUGACUGGAAGAAAUGCCAAGUAUUUUAGACCGCUACCGUCACCACCAUGUCUGCAGGUCACUGUGGAGACCACUCUGAGAGCUAGCCAAGAUUUAUAGCAUAUAAAAAUGGGAGGAACUGUGAGAACUUCGUCAAUGGAGAAGUGAAACCAAACUGGA